AUUGAACGCUGGCGGCAUGCCUUACACAUGCAAGUCGAACGGCAGCACGGGUGCUUGCCCCUGGUGGCGAGUGGCGAACGGGUGAGUAAUACAUCGGAACAUGUCCUGUAGUGGGGGAUAGCCCGGCGAAAGCCGGAUUAAUACCGCAUACGAUCUACGGAUGACAGCGGGGGACUUUCGGGCCUCGCGCUAUAGGGUUGGCCGAUGGCUGAUUAGCUAGUUGGUGGGGUAAAGGCCUACCAAGGCGACGAUCAGUAGCUGGUCUGAGAGGACGACCAGCCACACUGGGACUGAGACACGGCCCAGACUCCUACGGGAGGCAGCAGUGGGGAAUUUUGGACAAUGGGCGAAAGCCUGAUCCAGCAAUGCCGCGUGUGUGAAGAAGGCCUUCGGGUUGUAAAGCACUUUUGUCCGGAAAGAAAUCCUUGGCCCUAAUACGGUCGGGGGAUGACGGUACCGGAAGAAUAAGCACCGGCUAACUACGUG
rnacentral:rRNA from 1 species